GAUCAAUGAUGAAAACAGCCAAAUCUGAGCAUCAAAAGACCUUCCUGAUACAUGAUCUCUCUAGUUCUGAGA